AACAACAAUGAUGAGCCUUACAGACCUGUAAUGAUUUUUGCGGGUAUGAUCGCAAUCUAAGAACAUCUAAGGGGCUGAGUUGUU